rnacentral:piRNA from 1 species
UGAGAGGUUAUUUUUUUUUUUACCCCCUUU